rnacentral:tRNA from 1 species
GGGGCUUUAGCUCAGUUGGUAGAGCGCGUCGUUCGCAAUGACGAGGCCAAGGGUUCAACUCCCUUAAGCUCCA